GAAACGUCUGUGCUGUGUCUGCUCUGAGCCUAUCCCAGCUGUAGGGUGAGAAGCGGGGUACACCCUGGACAAGUCGCCAGUCUGUCGCAGGGCCAACACACAGGGACAGACAACCAUUCGCACUCACAUUCACCUAUGGGCAAUUUGGAGUAACCAAUUAACCUAUCCCCACUAAGUGCAUGUCUUUGGACAGUGGGAGGAAGCCGGAGUACCCGGAGAGAACAUGCAAACUCCACACAGAAAGACCCCGGCCUGAUGGUGGAAUUGAACUCAGGACCUUCUUGCUGUGCAACAACAGUGCUAACCACCGUGCUGCCCUCUCUUUUCUCAUUUCUAUGAAAAUGUUUCAAAAUAACUGGACAGAAAAUUGAGUGUCUGUCUGCUGAAACACUGCAAGGCUGUUAGAGAAGGGAAAAGGAGAAAGAAUCAGAGAGUGUUGUUUAUGGUCAGUAGUUGAGGUGAAUUAAGGUUAUAAUAAUAAUACUUCUCACAAUAAUAUACCAAUUUUUAUAAGAUACAGGGAAAUGGUUGCUAGAGGGUUACUCUCCAGGGCACUAGAGGUUUUUGCAUUACUAUUUUUAAAGCCUGGUAGAAUUGCAACCACAUUUUCUUUUUUUUGCAUAUGAGGAAUUGUACUUACAUGUAAUGCAUUCAGCUUGUCCUAGGUCACGGUUUCCUUCCACACAUGGCUUUGCAAAAACUGCAUAAAAAGCACUUGCAGCAACAAAAACACAAUAUUCCAGAAACACACUUUACUGAUCUGAUUGGCUGUUGAACUUAAGUUACACUGCUGGAAAUAGUUUAUUUUGAUGCACAAAAUAAACUUCCUGUGGUUGGAAACUACUGUGUGCAACCUUUUUGCAUUUUCAGUUUUGAGGAAUAAAAGUUUGAUAUUUCUCUAACUAGAAAUAACUAUUUUCAUGGGUUUUUUUGUAGUUUAUUGCACCUUUUAUGAAUUGAUGUAGUUACUAUAGACUUA
ensembl:lncRNA